GCGGGUGUGGUGUAGCCGGAAACAUCCGAGUCUUCCAAACUCAAGUCACGAGUUCGAAUCUCGUCACUCGCU
rnacentral:tRNA from 1 species